rnacentral:rRNA from 1 species
GUUUUCACCCUCGGGUGACAGGGAGACAGGUGGUGCAUGGUUGUCGUCAGCUCGUGUCGUGAGAUGUUGGGUUAAGUCCCGCAACGAGCGCAACCCCUACGUUUAGUUGCUAACAGGUGAAGCUGAGCACUCUAGACGAACUGCCGUUGACAAAACGGAGGAAGGUGGGAUGACGUCAAAUCAUCAUGCCCCUUAUGUUCUGGGCUACACACGUGCUACAAUGGCCGGUACAGACGGAGGCGAAGCCGCGAGGCGGAGCAAAUCCGAAAAAGCCGGUCUCAGUUCGGAUUGCAGGCUGCAAUUCGCCUGCAUGAAGUCGGAAUCGCUAGUAAUCGCAGGUCAGCAUACUGCGGUGAAUACGUUCCCGGGCCUU